GAUGAACGCUGGCGGCGUGCCUAAUACAUGCAAGUCGAGCGAAUGGAUUAAGAGCUUGCUCUUAUGAAGUUAGCGGCGGACGGGUGAGUAACACGUGGGUAACCUGCCCAUAAGACUGGGAUAACUCAGGGAAACCGGGGCUAAUACCGGAUAACAUUUUGAACCGCAUGGUUCGAAAUUGAAAGGCGGCUUCGGCUGUCACUUAUGGAUGGACCCGCGUCUGAUUAGCUAGUUGGUGAGGUAACGGCUCCCCAAGGCAACGAUGCGUAGCCGACCUGAGAGGGUGAUCGACCACACUGGGACUGAGACACGGCCCAGACUCCUACGGGAGGCAGCAGUAGGGAAUCUUCCGCAAUGGACGAAAGUCUGACGGAGCAACGCCGCGUGAGUGAUGAAGGCUUUCGGGUCGUAAAACUCUGUUGUUAGGGAAGAACAAGUGCUAGUUGAAUAAGCUGACACCUUGACGGUACCUAACCAGAAAGCCACGGCUAACUACGUGCCAGCCGCCGCCGUAA
rnacentral:rRNA from 1 species